CCAAGCUGCUGGAGAGACCCCCAGUGCGCAUGCGUGUUUGUGUGCGCGCACGCGGGAGGGAGGGGGGAAGGAGGAGCCGCCUGGCGCGCGCCUCCCUCCUUGCCUCUCUCUGGGCGCCCCUCUCCUCGGCAGCGGCGCCAUGAGGCCGGGGUGAGCUUUGUCGGCUGUGCUGCGCAACGACUUGCUGAGGAAGUGGACAUUCGGGAUCCCAUUGAAGGGAGACACUUUGCUGUAAGGGCAGGAGAAUGAGCGGUCAGCGUGUGGAUGCCAAAGUUGUGAUGCUGGGCAAAGAGUACGUUGGCAAAACUAGCUUGGUGGAGAGAUAUGUGCACAAUCGCUUCCUGGUGGGACCCUACCAAAAUACCAUAGGUGCUGCCUUUGUGGCCAAAGUAAUGUCAGUGGGAGACCGGACGGUGACCUUGGGAAUCUGGGAUACAGCUGGCUCAGAGAGGUAUGAGGCCAUGAGCCGGAUAUAUUACCGUGGGGCAAAAGCUGCUAUUGUAUGUUAUGAUCUUACUGAUAACAGCAGUUUCCAGAGAGCAAAAUUCUGGGUGAAUGAGCUGCAGAACUUUGAGGAGAAUUGCAGGAUCUAUUUAUGUGGCACCAAGAGUGACUUGCUGGAUGAGGACAGGAGAAAAAGGGAAAUUGACUUCCAUGAUGUGCAGGAUUAUGCAGAAGAGAUCAAAGCUGAGCUGUUUGAAACUUCUAGUAAGACUGGCCAAAAUGUGGCUGCAGGUGAGACAUGAACUUGUGGUGUUUUUUUAGAUGAACUCUUCCAGAAGGUGGCUGAGGAUUAUGUACAGUUCACUGCCUUUGAAAUGACAGAGGAGAAGGGACUUGAUUUAAACCAGAAGAGCCCUAACACCUACUUCUACAGCUGUUGCCAUCACUAAGUUCUCUCUUUAUUUUGCCAAAAUCAGUGCUUCUCUGGGACAUUAACACCUUGUGCUCUUUGGAAAGGUCCUUACAGUUUGCCUGCUGUUCAGAAUGUCUCGCUCUUGGACAUCUAGAGCAUCACUUUCAGGCACUUCUCUUUGGAAUGGAGGCCAGGAGAAUUCAAUGGAACCAGGUUUUUCUUUUUUUGUAAAUACAUCAAGAUGUGCUGCCUUGUUGACCAGAGACCAUGAUUGCCUUGUGUGCCCAUCCUCACGAGAGGCUGAAUGAAUUAUUCAAGUGUGUCAGGUUGAAGGUGUUGCCUGAAUUUUGCUUAUUUAAAUGGCUUCUAAUAAGUUAUAUAAAUGUAAAUAAAAGUGCUUUGCGGUCCUGUGUUGUUGAGGAA